rnacentral:rRNA from 1 species
GACGAACCGUCCUAACGUUGUUCGGAAUCACUGGGCUUAAAGGGCGCGUAGGCGGCUUGCCAAGUCAGGGGUGAAAUCCUGCAGCUUAACUGUAGAAGGGCCUUUGAUACUGGCGAGCUCGAGGGAGGUAGGAGUAUGUGGAACUUCCGGUGGAGCGGUGAAAUGCGUAGAGAUCGGCAGGAACACCCAGGGGGAAACCAGCCGGCUGGGGACGUGCUGACGCUCAGGGGCGAAAGCGUGGGGAGCGAACCGG